AAGUGGCCAGUGCUCACACUACAAGCCUGAAUGGUGAGGAGGAGGAGGGAGCAAUUGGUGGGGAGGUGAUUCCCUACAAGAAGCUGGUGCAGAGUCUGGAGAAGGCCGUCAAUAGAUUCCAGGAUGGAUCAUGCAGCAACUGUGCCUCUCUCUCUUGGUGAGUGACUCCAUCGAGCCACCACCCAAGGAAGCCCCUCCAAAGGCCACAAAGGAGGAAGGCAGUGUUGUCAUUCUGGAUGCCAAGCUGUUCUACAAGCAGCAGGAGAAGGAGGUGGCAGAGAAGAUCAAGGAGAGCCUGGCAGUGACUGAGUAUGCCAAGCCAUCCAGUGCAUUGGUGUUGAGUGGUGUGUCCAGCAGUGUGGUGCAGUACACAGUGUUUGAAAUGCAGCUGUCCUUUACUGUGCUGGAUACAGAGGGUGCACCCACCAGUGACCUGGGCCACAAGAGUGAUCCCUCGCAGGUCACGGCAAGUCUCUUGGGAGGUCCGCCAGGUGCCAUCGUCAUGGGCACCACAACAGUUCCCAACAGGAAUGGCACUGCCAUCUUCACCAACCUGUCUGUCAGCAAGCCCGGGGAAGGCUACAACCUCACUUUCACCAUCACCUACCCCAGCUAUGCUCUAGCCCUCACCACCACCCUGGAGGAGACCUUCAGCUUGACACAGAUGAGUGCAGCAAUGGUCCUGCAGCAGCCCAGCAUAGUGCAGGCCGGACAACCCACCACCAUCACUGUUCACUUUGUUGACAAGGACUCUGGCUUGGUGCUUAAUGGCCUGGCUUUCAAGGGCAGACAUUUGUGGGCAAACUGCUGGCAAAGACUGCUGAGGGACACUUUGAGGUUAUCCAGAGGUAUGCCAAGUAAGAAACAGAAGAGAAUGUUACAAGGAGGAGGCAGCAGGCACCUGCCAAAAUGAUAAUUACUCCCAGUGAGGUCUAAAGCACUGGAUGAUGGGGUGCUGUGAACUUAUCAUUAAACGCAGCUGUGACCUCACUGAAUGUUUCCCUUUGUGUCUCACAAGAAAAGGGGACAGUCACAGCCUGCUCUCUAAAGACAACUCUCUUCCUUCACACAAAACUACAAACAUCUAAUUACACACACACCCUUCACUCAAUUAUCAUGGAGACUCCUACACCAGCCUCAUAGAGUCACCAUUGGGGAAGGGGACAACAAAUGUCCCCAGGUCAGACUGCUCUUCUGGUAUCGACCCUAAGUGUCUUGACACCGCUCAACUUUUUCUUCAUUAACUCCUGCAACAUUUGCAGUCUUGGAUCUAAUUUUCAGUCUGUAAAAACACCAUCUCUCCUCUACUAAACCUCAUUUUCUUUUCCUCACUGAAACUCAGGUGUCUAAGGCAACUGACAUUAGCCCCAUUUUUGUUCUCUCCUACUUUCUCUAUCCUCAUUUUCAAUCCAAAGCUGGAUGUUGCAUUUAUGUGCGCAACAACUUAACCUGCUCUCUUGCCCAUGCUCUUGAAUCUUCCGAGUUUUCCACAACCUGGCUACGAUUACAGUCACUCUCAAACUAAAUGUAUCUGUGCUGUAUACCUCUCACCUAACUCCUCUGACUUUAAAAAAUUCUUUGACUUCUUAACUUCCAAAGUGGAGCACAUUCUGACCCUCUUCCCUUUUGCAGAGGUCUCCAUUCUUGGAGACUUCAAUGUUCACCAUCAGCUUUGGCUUUCCUCUCCCUUCACUGACCAUCCUGGUGAACUAGCCUUCAACUUUGCUAUCCUCCACAACCUAGAGCAAUCGGUGCAACACCCUACUUGUAUUCCUGACCAUCUUGGAGAUAUGCCCAACAUUAUUAACCUUUUCAUAACCUCUAAUCCUUCUGCUUAUGCUGUCACCCUCUCUUCUCUGUUGGGCUCAUCCAGUCACAAUCUCAUAUCUUUAUCUUGUCCUAUCACUCCAAUCCUUCCUCAGCAUCCCCAUAAGCAGAAUUGCCUCUAGGAUUUUGCCUCUGCUAGCUGCAGGGACCCAAGGAGGUAUUUUGCUGAUUUUCCUUGGAAUGACUACUGCUUCCAUGUCAGAGACCUGUCUGUGUGCAGAGUACAUAACAGAGGUAGUAGAGUCUGACAUGGAGGUGUACAUUCCUCACUCUUUACCUUCCAAAUCUUGGUUUAACACAGCUUGUUCUCAUGCUAUACAUGAUAGAGAGGUGGCCUACAAAAGGUACUUAAGCCUUCCAUCACCAGAAUAUCAUGGGCUUUAUAUUUCUGUCUGGAACCAUGCCAAGUCUGUUCUCCAACUAGCCAAAAACUCCUUCAUUAACGGAAAGUGUCAAAAUCUUUCAAGAUCUAACUCCCCUUGUAACUUCUGGCACCAAGCCAAAAACUGGCACCAAGCCAAAAACAUCUCCAAUAACUUUGCUUCUCCUUUUCCUCCUUUAUAUCAACCGGAUGGUACCACUGCUAUCACAUCUAUCUCUAACCUAAACCUGAACUCUUCGCUCAAACCUUUGCUAAAAACUCUACCUUGGACAAUUCAGGGCUUGUUCCUCCCUCGCCUCCACCCUCUGACUACUUCAUGCUACCUAUUAAAAUUCUUCACAGUCAUGUUUUCAUGCCCUCCCUGGCCUAAACCCUCAGAAGGCUUAUGGACCUGAUGGGGUGCCUCAUAUUGUUCUCCGAAACUGUGCCUCUGUGCUUGCACCUUGCCUAGUCAAACUCUUUCAACUCUGUCAGCAUCUACCAUUCCUUCUUGCUGGAAGUUUGCCUACAUUCAGCCUGUUCCUAAAAAGGGUGACUUCAAAUCCCUCAAACUGCCAUCCUAUUGUUUUAAUUUCCUGCCUAUCUAAAGUUUUUUAAUCAAUCAUCAACAGGAAGAUUCUUAAACAUCUUUCACUUCACAACCUUCUAUCUGAUCGAUAGUAUGGGUUCCAUCAAGGCCACUCUACUGGUGAUCUUUUGGCUUUCUUUACUGAGUCUUAGUCAUCCUCUUAUAAAGAUUUUGGUGAGACUUUUGCUGUUGCUUUGGACAUAUUAAAAGUUUUUGAUAGAGUUUGGCACAAAGCUUUGAUUUCCAAACUACUCUUCUGCGCCUUCUAUCCUUUUCUCUGUAACUUCAUCUUAAGUUUCCAUUCUGACCAUUCUAUUGCUGCUGUGGUAGACGAUCACUAUUCUUCCUUUAAAUCUAUUAACUGUGGUGUUCCUCAGGGUUCUGUCCUAUCACCCACUCUCUUCUUAUUAUUCUCCAGUGACCUAAACCAAACUUCUUGUCUUAUCCACUCCUACACUGAUGAUACCACCCUGCACUUUUCUAUGUCUUUUGUAGAAGUCCAACCCUUCAGGAAGUAAAGAGUUCAUGCAGGGAAGCCACAGAAAACCUGACUUCUGAUCUCUCUAAAAUUUCUGAUUGGGGCAGAGCAAACUUAGUAUUAUUCAAUGCCUCAAAAACUCAAUUCCUCCACUUAUCAACUUGACACAACCUUCCAGAUAACUAUCCCAUCUUCAGUGACACUUAACUGUCCCCCUUUCUACACUGAACAUCCUUGGUCUGUCCUUUUCUUAUAAUCUAAACUGGAAACUUCACAUCACAUCCCUAGCUAAAACAGCUCUUAUGAAAUUAGAUUCUGAGACAUCUUCACCAGUUUUUCUCAUCUCCCCCCCAACUGUUAACUCUGUACAGGGGCCUUAUCUGUCCAUGUAUGCUUCACAUGUCUGGGGGGGUUCCACUUGUACUGCUCAUCUAGACAUUAUGGAAUCAAAAGCUUUUUGUCUCAUCAGCUCCUCUCCUCUAACUGACUGUCUUCAGCCGGUUUCUCAUCACUGCAAUGUUGCAUCUCUUGUUAUCAUCUACCGUUGUUUUCAUGCUAACUGCUCUUCUAAUCUUGCUAACAGCAUGCCUCCCCUCCUCUGACGGCCUCGCUGCACAAGACUUUCUUCUUUCUUUCACCCCCUAUUAUGUUCACCUCUCUAAUGCAAGAGUUAACCAGUAUUCUCAAUCAUUCAUUCCUUUCUCUGGUAAACUCUGGAACUCCCUGCCUGCUUCUGUCUUUCCACCUUCCUAUGACUUGAAUUCCUUCAAGAGGGAGGUUUCAAGACACUUAUCCUUCAAUUUUUGACUGCUGCUUUGGACCCUUUUAUGGGACUGGCAUCUCAGUGGGUCUUUUUAUUUUUUGGUGGGGGGAGGGGGAGGGUUGUUGCCCUUGGCCAGUGUCCCUCCUAAUUGAAAAAAUAAAUAAAUAAAAAUAUCACCACCCAUAUCUUCCCAACACAAAUACUGACAACAGCCCCUGUGUCAGGCUGUAUGUACCAGAUGAGGCUGUGUCAAUGCUCACCUUUGAGAAUGUCAUAUUUGAGGCGCCAGACGUGAGACAGCAACUCAUAGCCAAGGUUGCUGUCGUCUCCGCUAGCUGACUAUUAAAGAUGCAGAAUCCUUGCUGAACCAUCACUGGAACCAUGAAAACACCCCUGAAAACACCAUAACAACUGAAAGUAUUGGAGGUAAGAGAGAGCAAAACAUUUGGGAGUGCAGUUUAUUAUCUGUCUCCCAUACAGGACUGGUGGUGUAUCCCUCACAUCUGGUCAUCAAGGAGUACCCCAUGGUCAAGUCCUUGCACACCGAUCCGUUCUGAUGGAAGCAGUUGGAGGGUGUGGAGGAUGGGGUGAGAAUGACUGUCCUUAUUGCCCAUCUGUUAUAUCCUUCAGUAUCUUCUUUUCUUCACCUGCACUGUGUUUUUUCCUCUUGCAUCCUUCAGUAAUAUUGUUUUCUUCAUGCCUCCUGUGUUCUUUUUGCUUCUGUUUUAUCCUUCAUUAUACCUUUCUGUUAUAUCCUUCAGUGAUAUCCUUUUUCUCCUCCUGCAGUGUAUUCUUUUUCCCUCUUAUCAUAUCAUGUAUCCUUCAAUGAUAUCUUUUCUUCAUCUUUGCUGUAUUCUUUUUCCUCUACCUUAUCCUUCAUUAUCCAUUUCUUCACUCAUUCUGUAUUCCUCUUUCUUCUUUCUUUAAUGCACACUUUCCUCCACACACACAAUUUAAACCUUUCUAUCAUGCAUAGUUACCCUCACCCCCUCCUUGCCCCACGCACACACACACACACACACACACACACACACACACACACCUUUAAUGAUGU